UAAGUUGUAUAGUACUGAUCGUGUAAUCAGUACUGGACUGUCUGAUUCGGCUCACUGUGAAACUGUGGUGGCACAAAUUAGCUAUUGAAGCUAUUAGAAACUGCUGAUAAAUUUAUGCACUUUCCUCACAGGUUUUUGAACUCCCAAAGAUAAGUCUGAAAAUGAAAGAGAUGCACUGGGACAUCAAGCUACAAUUCAGCCAGGACAGGUAAUGUCAUUUUCAGACGUUCAUCAUAUUCUGAAAACUGUGACAUGCUGGUCAGAUUUACCGAUGAUGCAGGUGUUUAUGAGGAAGGGAUUGACACAGGUGGUCCAAGAUGAGAAUUUUUUAACUCUGCUAAUGAAGCACCUGAAAGACCGGCCAAUUUUUGAUGGACCAGAGGGACAUCGGUUCUUGGUCUAUAAUGCAAAUGCUGUUAGGGAGGAUGAAUACUUCCUGGCAGGACAGAUGAUUGCAGUUUCAGUUGUACAUGGAGGUCCGGGACCCCAUUUCCUGUCAGAAGAUCUUGUACAGUAUCUUGCUGGCCAGCCUUCAUUCAAACCAACAGUUAAUUUAAUAACUGAUGAAGAAAUAGGGAAAGCUUUGCGAGAGAUUGAGAAUGCUGCUACAUUGGAUGCUCUACAAGAAUGUAUCAUGAGACACAGCACAAUGUUGCAGACAGCAGGCUGUCUUAGACAUGUGGCUGCUGUGGACGAAAAGACAGAAAUUGUGGCCGACUACCUCCAGUGGUAUAUUUUUGACCGCAACUCAUCUGUAAUUGACAGUGUGUUCACUUUGUAGAUUCAAAGAUGGUCUUUCAGCUCUUCAGUUCCUGACUGCACUACAGCAACACCCUACUUUGCUGACCCCUGUCCUGUGCCACUGUGAAAAGCGACUGACUGCCUUUGAGCUUGAGAGACUCUUCAAACCUCAACUCAGCCCUUCAGGGAGUAAUAGGAGACUGAAAGAAAGCCAAACCUUGGCCUGCUGGGCAGACUAUCUCCUUGAUUGUGAAGAAGGCGAGGCUGCUGUGUCUGUGGAAGACAUUUUGAUGUUUGCAACUGGGCUGACAUCACUUCCCCCAUCUGGCUUGGAACCACUGCCACAAAUAGAGUUCCUGGAUGACGUUCCACUCCCAAUGGCAAAUACAUGUUCAAACUUGUUGAAAUUACCAUUUCUGGAUUCAUAUAGUGUGUUUAAGUCACAAAUGGACUUUGGAAUUCAAAAUAGUCCAGGAUUUGGUUGUCUAUAAACUAUAUAGCUAGAUAACCAUUAGAGUAGUGUUUUUCAAACCUGGUCAUCCAGGCACAAUGCCCUGCACGUUUUAGA